UGUGCAUAUGGAGUUCUGGGUGGUCCUAUGCGCUGGUCGAGGACAUGGUGUGCCUCUAUAAGGUCUCUGCCAAUUAAGAGAAGAAUUUGGCAAUUUUCCUCUAUUGGUGGAAUGCUACCCCUAAGUUCUUUUAAAUGAGGGUGAUGCAUUGUUACUUCAGGAGUAGGUAUUUCGUCCCUAUUAUUUGGAAUAUGAUCACAUUCAAUCAGUACAGGAAGGUCAAACUUGUCAUUACCAUUGAUUGAUUCCAUGACGAAACCUCUUCCUCUUUUCCCGGAAGUGACUACUUUGCCGGAGCAUGUUGAUAAAGUAUAGUUCUCCGGUUUAUCUUUGACGUCGAAAAGAUUAAAGAAUUCGGGCGAUGCUAGUGACCGGUUGCUUUGGUCAUCAAUGAUGGCGUACAUGCGAAUAACUUUGUACUGGUUAUCUUUGUGAUAAACAUUCACAGGAAGUAUUUUAGCACAAGAUUUUCCACUAUAUGUAUCUUUGCAGAUCUCAGUACAGGUAGAGUUAACUGAGGUUGCCUUAGUUUCAGCCGAUUCUAUAGGCUCCCCGCCGUAGGCUUGCUUAGGCGAGCUAGACUGUGAACUUGCAGGUUGCUGUGGUCUAGUGAUGUGAAGUGCGGUAGUGUGUUGUUUACUUCCACAUUCUUUACAACUUAUGCGUGCAUUGCAUUCCCGGCUCCUAUGUGUGGUAGAAUCACAACACUUGUAACAUACAUUGUUUUCUUUUAAAAGACCUUUGCGCUCCUCUAUUGACUUGGCUCGGAACGCUCGACAUUCAUUUAAGGAAUGCUUUGUAUUGUGCAGAAUACAAAGACCUUGUUUGCUGGCGUCUCCAGAUUGCUGCUCAACUGCUGUUUUAUGAGCACCAACUUUAGUCUUAGGGUAAGGCGUAGACCUUGGCGCAGCACCUUUUGUAUUUGGUGUGGCUUUUGACCCAAAGAUGAACCCAGGAUCGUUCUUUGUUUUGCUUAUUUCCCUGAUGAAGGCAGAGAAUUCUGUGAAAGGUGGAAAGGCAACUUCAUAUUUGGACUUGUAUCUUGUAGCCCUUGUGGUCCACUUUUCUUGGAGUCCGUACGGUAAUUUUUCAACAAUAGGAUUUAUCCCGGACGAGGAGUCAAAAUAUGCUAGCAAAC
rnacentral:lncRNA from 1 species